rnacentral:rRNA from 1 species
CACGUAGGGCGCAAGCGUUGUCCGGAAUUAUUGGGCGUAAAGAGCUCGUAGGCGGACUGUCACGCCUGCUGUGAAAAGCUGGGGCUUAACCCUGGCCUUGCAGUGGAUACGGGCAGACUAGAGGUAGGUAGGGGAGAAUGGAAUUCCCGGUGUAGCGGUGAAAUGCGCAGAUAUCGGGAGGAACACCGGUGGCGAAGGCGGUUCUCUGGGCCUUACCUGACGCUGAGGAGCGAAAGCGUGGGGAGCGAACAGG